rnacentral:rRNA from 1 species
GAUGAACGCUGGCGGCGUGCCUAAUACAUGCAAGUCGAGCGAACGGACGAGAAGCUUGCUUCUCUGAUGUUAGCGGCGGACGGGUGAGUAACACGUGGAUAACCUACCUAUAAGACUGGGAUAACUUCGGGAAACCGGAGCUAAUACCGGAUAAUAUUUUGAACCGCAUGAUUCAAAAGUGAAAGACGGUCUUGCUGUCACUUAUAGAUGGAUCCGCGCUGCAUUAGCUAGUUGGUAAGGUAACGGCUUACCAAGGCAACGAUGCAUAGCCGACCUGAGAGGGUGAUCGGCCACACUGGAACUGAGACACGGUCCAGACUCCUACGGGAGGCAGCAGUAGGGAAUCUUCCGCAAUGGGCGAAAGCCUGACGGAGCAACGCCGCGUGGGUGAUGAAGGUCUUCGGAUCGUAAAACUCUGUUAUUAGGGAAGAACAUAUGUGUAAGUAACUGUGCACAUCUUGACGGUACCUAAUCAGAAAGCCACGGCUAACUACGUGCCAGCAGCCGCGGUAAUACGUAGGUGGCAAGCGUUAUCCGGAAUUAUUGGGCGUAAAGCGCGCGUAGGCGGUUUUUUAAGUCUGAUGUGAAAGCCCACGGCUCAACCGUGGAGGGUCAUUGGAAACUGGAAAACUUGAGUGCAGAAGAGGAAAGUGGAAUUCCAUGUGUAGCGGUGAAAUGCGCAGAGAUAUGGAGGAACACCAGUGGCGAAGGCGACUUUCUGGUCUGUAACUGACGCUGAUGUGCGAAAGCGUGGGGAUCAAACAGGAUUAGAUACCCUGGUAGUCCACGCCGUANACGAUGAGUGCUAAGUGUUAGGGGGGUUUCCGCCCCUUAGUGCUGCA